CUUUUACGUCGGCCUUCGCGAGCGUCUGGGCGGGUGGUAGGAACAAUGGCGCUGUCUUCAGUGGCACAGUGGAGCAGCUCUGAAGAUGCAAAGAUACACGAAAAAACUUCCAGAACAUCUGGGAGAAUAUUUAAUGGAAAAUCGCUUGGUUAAAACCUGACACUUUUAACAGUGAGGGUCGCUGUCUGCCCAUUGAUAGAGGCCAGAUUGUCUUGGAAGUUCCAAAGUUGCAACGAUUUCUUUAGUUGAAUCCAUGGACAUGAAACCCACAGAUAUAGAGGGUUGGCCCGGUGCAGUGGCUCACGCCUGUAAUCCCAGCACUUUGGGAGGCCAAGGCGGGUGGAUCACCUGAGGUCAGAAGCUUGAGACCAGCCUGGCCAACAUGGGUACUGCUUUCUCUUGCUGCAGCUUGCUUCCUCCCUCAGGUAACAUGAAGGAGGAUAUUGAAUGUUCCUAACACAAAGAAAUGAUAAAUGUUUGAGAUGGUGGAUGUACUAAUUGCCCUGAUCUGAUGACUAUACAUUAUAUAUAUUGAAACAUCAGUAUGUACCCCAUGAAUAUGUACAAU
rnacentral:lncRNA from 10 species